ACGAACGCUGGCGGCGUGCCUAAUACAUGCAAGUCGAACGCUUCUUUUUCCAUCGGAGCUUGCUCCACCGGAAAAAGAGGAGUGGCGAACGGGUGAGUAACACGUGGGUAACCUGCCCAUCAGAAGGGGAUAACACUUGGAAACAGGUGCUAAUACCGUAUAACAAUCGAAACCGCAUGGUUUUGAUUUGAAAGGCGCUUUCGGGUGUCGCUGAUGGAUGGACCCGCGGUGCAUUAGCUAGUUGGUGAGGUAACGGCUCACCAAGGCGACGAUGCAUAGCCGACCUGAGAGGGUGAUCGGCCACAUUGGGACUGAGACACGGCCCAAACUCCUACGGGAGGCAGCAGUAGGGAAUCUUCGGCAAUGGACGAAAGUCUGACCGAGCAACGCCGCGUGAGUGAAGAAGGUUUUCGGAUCGUAAAACUCUGUUGUUAGAGAAGAACAAGGAUGAGAGUAACUGUUCAUCCCUUGACGGUAUCUAACCAGAAAGCCACGGCUAACUACGUGCCAGCAGCCGCGGUAAUACGUAGGUGGCAAGCGUUGUCCGGAUUUAUUGGGCGUAAAGCGAGCGCAGGCGGUUUCUUAAGUCUGAUGUGAAAGCCCCCGGCUCAACCGGGGAGGGUCAUUGGAAACUGGGAGACUUGAGUGCAGAAGAGGAGAGUGGAAUUCCAUGUGUAGCGGUGAAAUGCGUAGAUAUAUGGAGGAACACCAGUGGCGAAGGCGGCUCUCUGGUCUGUAACUGACGAUGAGGCUCGCAAGCGUGGGGAGCAAACAGGAUUAGAUACCCUGGUAGUCCACGCCGUAAACGAUGAGUGCUAAGUGUUGGAGGGUUUCCGCCCUUCAGUGCUGCAGCUAACGCAUUAAGCACUCCGCCUGGGGAGUACGACCGCAAGGUUGAAACUCAAAGGAAUUGACGGGGGCCCGCACAAGCGGUGGAGCAUGUGGUUUAAUUCGAAGCAACGCGAAGAACCUUACCAGGUCUUGACAUCCUUUGACCACUCUAGAGAUAGAGCUUCCCCUUCGGGGGCAAAGUGACAGGUGGUGCAUGGUUGUCGUCAGCUCGUGUCGUGAGAUGUUGGGUUAAGUCCCGCAACGAGCGCAACCCUUAUUGUUAGUUGCCAUCAUUUAGUUGGGCACUCUAGCAAGACUGCCGGUGACAAACCGGAGGAAGGUGGGGAUGACGUCAAAUCAUCAUGCCCCUUAUGACCUGGGCUACACACGUGCUACAAUGGGAAGUACAACGAGUCGCAAAGUCGCGAGGCUAAGCUAAUCUCUUAAAGCUUCUCUCAGUUCGGAUUGUAGGCUGCAACUCGCCUACAUGAAGCCGGAAUCGCUAGUAAUCGCGGAUCAGCACGCCGCGGUGAAUACGUUCCCGGGCCUUGUACACACCGCCCGUCACACCACGAGAGUUUGUAACACCCGAAGUCGGUGAGGUAACCUUUUGGAGCCAGCCGCCUAAGGUGGGAUAGAUGAUUGGGGUG
rnacentral:rRNA from 1 species